GGUGGGUUGGCAGAGCGGUAAUGCAGCGGGUUGCUAACCCGUGAGGGCUUCAAAACCCUCCGCAGGUUCAAAUCCUGCACCCACCG
rnacentral:tRNA from 1 species